CACACUCUGAAUGGGACGAGGACCAGGAUGAGGGCGUAGGACUUAUGAAUCAAUCAAGGGCUUGUGCUGGAGGCAAGAAUAACACCAUGAGCAGUAAAGGAGCGUGUGCGAUGGCGUGUGAUCGAAGGCCGGUAAGCUCACAGGAGGGCGUCACAGGUGUGGGGCGUGUGUGAUGGCGUGUGAUCGAAGGCCGGUAAGCUCACAGGAGGGCGCCACAGGUGUGGAGCGUGUGCGAUGGCAUGUGAUCGAAGGCCUGUGAGCUCACAGGAGUGUGCCACAGGUGUGGGGCGUGUGCGAUGGCGUGUGAUUGAAGGCCGGUAAGCUCACAGGAGGGCGCCACAGGUGUGGGGCGUGUGCGAUGGCGUGUGAUCGAAGGCCGGUAAGCUCACAGGAGUGUGCCACAGGUGUGGGGCGUGUGCGAUGGCGUGUGAUCGAAGGCCGGUAAGCUCACAGGAGUGUGCCACAGGUGUGGGGCGUGUGCGAUGGCAUGUGAUCGAAGGCCGGUAAGCUCACAGGAGUGCGCCACAGGUGUGGGGCGUGUGCGAUGGCGUGUGAUCGAAGGCCUGUAAGCUCACAGGAGUGCGUCACAGGUGUGGGGCGUGUGCGAUGGCGUGUGAUCGAAGGCCGGUAAGCUCACAGGAGGGCGUCACAGGUGUGGGGCGUGUGCGAUGGCGUGUGAUCGAAGGCCGGUAAGCUCACAGGAGGGCGUCACAGGUGUGGGGCGUGUGCGAUGGCGUGUGAUCGAAGGCCGGUAAGCUCACAGGAGGGCGUCACAGGUGUGGGGCGUGUGCGAUGACGUGUGAUCGAAGGCCGGUAAGCUCACAGGAGGGCGUCACAGGUGUGGGGCGUGUGCGAUGGCGUGUGAUCGAAUGCCGGUAAGCUCACAGGAGGGCGUCACAGGUGUGGGGCGUGUGCGAUGGCGUGUGAUCGAAGGCCGGUAAGCUCACAGGAGGGCGUCACAGGUGUGGGGCGUGUGCGAUGGCGUGUGAUCGAAGGCCGGUAAGCUCACAGGAGGGCGUCACAGGUGUGGGGCGUGUGCGAUGGCGUGUGAUCGAAGGCCGGUAAGCUCACAGGAGGGCGUCACAGGUGUGGGGCGUGUGCGAUGACGUGUGAUUGAAGGCCGGUAAGCUCACAGGAGGGCGUCACAGGUGUGGGGCGUGUGCGAUGAUGUGUGAUUGAAGGCCGGUAAGCUCACAGGAGGGCGUCACAGGUGUGGGGCGUGUGCGAUGACGUGUGAUCGAAGGCCUGUAAGCUCACAGGAGUGUGCCACAGGUGUGGAGCGUGUGCGAUGGCGUGUGAUCGAAGGCCGGUAAGCUCACAGGAGGGCGUCACAGGUGUGGGGCGUGUGCGAUGACGUGUGAUUGAAGGCCGGUAAGCUCACAGGAGGGCGCCACAGGUGUGGAGCGUGUGCGAUGGCGUGUGAUCGAAGGCCUGUAAGCUCACAGGAGUGUGCCACAGGUGUGGAGCGUGUGCGAUGGCGUGUGAUCGAAGGCCGGUAAGCUCACAGGAGGGCGUCACAGGUGUGGAGCGUGUGCGAUGGCAUGUGAUUGAAGGCCGGUAAGCUCACAGGAGGGCGCCACAGGUGUGGAGGGGAGGGCUUGGAGUAUCCCUGGGGCAGGAGUUGCCUGUGGCUUCUUGGAGGGGUACAGCGGAGCCCCAGGAGAUGGCUAAGCUCCUAAGCAGGGGAAGUAGGAGGUUGGGAAUGGGAUAGGGAGAGGAAGGAAAGAACAGGAAGGGUGGUGCCAGGUUGUCGGGAACCUUGGAAGUAAACUUGAGGAGUCUGACCGACUUCUCAGGGCAGUGGAAAGCAGGGCACGCUUUAUUGCUG
rnacentral:lncRNA from 1 species